GGAGAGGUGCCCGGAGUGGCUUAUCGGGGACCGAGUGCACAGCUCUGGUCGGGCCUGACCGGCCCACGCAGGUUCAAAUCCUGCCCUCUCCG
rnacentral:tRNA from 1 species